rnacentral:rRNA from 1 species
UGGGGAAUUUUGCACAAUGGGGGAAACCCUGAUGCAGCGACGCCGCGUGAUUUAGAAGGCCUUCGGGUUGUAAAAAUCUUUUGUAUGGGAAGAAAAUGACAGUACCAUACGAAUAAGGACCGGCUAAUUCCGUGCCAGCAGCCGCGGUAAUACGGAAGGUUCGGGCGUUAUCCGGAUUUAUUGGGUUUAAAGGGAGCGUAGGCUGUUUGUUAAGCGUGUUGUGAAAUGUAAGAGCUCAACUUUUAGAUUGCAGCGCGAACUGGCAGACUUGAGUGCGCACAACGUAGGCGGAAUUCAUGGUGUAGCGGUGAAAUGCUUAGAUAUCAUGACGAACUCCGAUUGCGAAGGCAGCUUACGGGAGCGCAACUGACGCUAAAGCUCGAAGGUGCGGGUAUCGAACAGG